rnacentral:rRNA from 1 species
UUUUAGCAGGGAAGAAGCGAAAGUGACGGUACCUGCAGAAAAAGCGCCGGCUAACUACGUGCCAGCAGCCGCGGUAAUACGUAGGGCGCAAGCGUUAUCCGGAAUUAUUGGGCGUAAAGAGCUCGUAGGCGGUUUGUCGCGUCUGCUGUGAAAACCCGAGGCUCAACCUCGGGCCUGCAGUGGGUACGGGCAGACUAGAGUGCGGUAGGGGAGAUUGGAAUUCCUGGUGUAGCGGUGGAAUGCGCAGAUAUCAGGAGGAACACCGAUGGCGAAGGCAGAUCUCUGGGCCGUAACUGACGCUGAGGAGCGAAAGGGUGGGGAGCAAACAGGCUUAGAUACCCUGGUAGUCCACCCCGUAAACGUUGGGAACUAGUUGUGGGGUCCAUUCCACGGAUUCCGUGACGCAGCUAACGCAUUAAGUUCCCCGCCUGGGGAGUACGGCCGCAAGGCUAAAACUCAAAGGAAUUGACGGGGACCCGCACAAGCGGCGGAGCAUGCGGAUUAAUUCGAUGCAACGCGAAGAACCUUACCAAGGCUUGACAUAUACGAGAACGGGCCAGAAAUGGUCAACUCUUUGGACACUCGUAAACAGGUGGUGCAUGGUUGUCGUCAGCUCGUGUCGUGAGAUGUUGGGUUAAGUCCCGCAACGAGCGCAACCCUCGUUCUAUGUUGCCAGCACGUAAUGGUGGGAACUCAUGGGAUACUGCCGGGGUCAACUCGGAGGAAGGUGGGGAUGACGUCAAAUCAUCAUGCCCCUUAUGUCUUGGGCUUCACGCAUGCUACAAUGGCCGGUACAAAGGGCUGCAAUACCGCAAGGUGGAGCGAAUCCCAAAAAGCCGGUCCCAGUUCGGAUUGAGGUCUGCAACUCGACCUCAUGAAGUCGGAGUCGCUAGUAAUCGCAGAUCAGCAACGCUGCGGUGAAUACGUUCCCGGGUCUUGUACACACCGCCCGUCAAGUCAUGAAAGUCGGUAACACCUGAAGCCGGUGGCCCAACCCUUGUGGAGGGAGCCG